AUUUUCAGAACAAAACACUUGGAUACAUUAUAUUUUAAAUGUAUCGUAUGCAGCUACAUUUCAAUAAGAAUUGGGACAACUGCAUUUAAAUAUCAGAUGAAAGCUGUUUGAAUGCGGUUUAUUACAUUUCAAAGCCUACAAUUGAAUAGAGCAACGAUAUUGUACUUUACAUCUAUAUAAAAAUAUUCAGAUGAAAACGAUUUGAAUGUGGUUUAUUAAAUCCAAAGCCCACAAUUAUGUUUUACUUGUCAUCUGCAUUAAAAUACUCAGAUAAAAAAAAACUGGAGGAUUAAAAACUACAUAUAUGUAUGUAUGUAAAAUUAGCUAAACUUUGGCAACAACAAACAUGUGCAUGGAUAGAUAUUAUAAAAAUAUUUUCUGUUAUGCGUAUUUAUAUUGUAUUGCAAUACAACCAUUGUGAAUCUAAUAAAUAAUAUUUUGUGGUUAUACGUAUAUCCAUGGUGUUACAAUACAAUAAUCGUAGACCUAAUUAAUAAUAUCUCGCAAGCUGUCAAAUAAAUGGAUGAGGGUGCAUACAAAUUAAAAAAAAAGAGUACAUAAAUUAAAGAGUUUAAUUUCUAUAUAGUUAAGAACAGCAAACAUAUCUAUGAAAUUCUCACAUAUCGCACCCAGUUUAAAAGUGACACAACUCGAAAUUUUUAUAAUAAAACUAACUUUUCAAAACGGUCCGUUUACACUAAUCUGCUUCCUCUUACGAAUAUUAGUUUCUGAGAUAUCAUAAAAAAAACAAAUCGACUUAUUUGGAGUUGUGUUGAUUUGUUUUUGACAAAACAACUAAAUUCCACUUAAGUUGUUUUGUCAAAAGUUCACAGAUAGUAUGGCUGACUUCAUAAACGCAUUUUGCAAAGCAACACUGCAAUGCAUAGUGUUCAUAAACGCAAUAGAUUUUGUUUUGGCAAUGUCGCAAGUUCAUUAUUGUAUGGCAAUGCUUGUCCAGCCGCAGCAUCUGUCAAAUUUGUGAACUGUUUUUAUUUAUGAUUCUUUACAAAACAUUUAUGCGUUCAUGAAUGUCACAAAGUAUUGCUUUGCCUAGUAAUUGCUUUGCAUUACUGCGUUUAUGAAGUCGGCCUAUAUACCCACCAUUUUAUGUGAUAAUAAAAUAUUUUUCUGAUAUGUUAGGGAUCGAUCCUCACAAAAGUUGGUAGAAAUAUCAGAUCUAAGGUUCAUAUAAAACUAGUUUAUAUUCAAUUUCAUCACGAUAUUAAAUUAUUAUAAGGCAAUCAUGAAUGUUCAAGUCAUUUUCUGAGAGGGGGCUUGUAUGGGUGACAUACAGUAUUCCGGGGGUAUAUUUAUUUUUAUUUUAUUGAUUUCAAUACAUAAAUGCCUAUAUAUAUAUUUGUAUGGGGGUUAGGUGAAAUCAUAGACCGAUAUUGCCCAUUUUCAAUACCAUACAAUCCUUAGCAACUAGUUGAUAACACCCUUGGCAGGGUUGAAAAUGCAUUCCAAUUUGCCAAUUGUUUAAAUUACUUUUUAAUGUAUUCUUUGAAUUAUAAAUUUACUCUCAUUUCCUUCUAUAACAUUUCGGUGUAGUGUUGAAAUUCAGAUUUUGUCCCCCCGACAAUUCAACGAAUAUUUGGGAAUGUCAGGCGUUACUGCAUCAGCGACAUGAAAUAUUCACAUGUAAAAACAAUUUGUUUUUCAGAACAAAAGCAAUAAAUAAUAGUUAAAUAGUGUAUUGACAAUUUUUAAUUUAUGUAAACUCUUUUUUUUUUAAAUUUACAAUAAUAUUGAGGAGAGAGAGUGUAUCAAUGAGCUGUCUUACAGUCUUAUAAAAUUGGCCAACCUAUUUCGGAAAUUCAGAAAGAUUUGCUCUUUAAAGGAAAGGAUUUUUCUACUUACAGUUAAUUACAGGUAUGAUAUAAUGAUUUCAGGAAAUGUGAUGCAGAGACCAUUAAUUUGUUCAACGUUGUUCAGUUUUUCAUUUUAUUUUACAAAAAAAAUAUGUAAACAAAAAUAAAAUAAAAAAUUUUUUUAAAAAAAAA